rnacentral:rRNA from 1 species
ACCGGCGCACGGGUGAGUAACGCGUAUCCAACCUGCCCCACGGUGAGGGAUAACCCGCGGAAACGCGGCCUAAUACCUCAUGGUGGGAUGGGGAUGCGUCUGAUUAGCUUGUUGGCGGGGCAACGGCCCACCAAGGCAACGAUCAGUAGGGGUUCUGAGAGGAAAGCCCCCCACAUUGGAACUGAGACACGGUCCAAACUCCUACGGGAGGCAGCAGUGAGGAAUAUUGGUCGAUGGGCGAGAGCCUGAACCAGCCAAGUAGCGUGCAGGACGACGGCCUAUGGGUUGUAAACUGCUUUUAUGCGGGGAUAGGUACCGCAUGAAUAAGGACCGGCUAAUUCCGUGCCAGCAGCCGCGGUAAUACGGAAGGUCCGGGCGUUAUCCGGAUUUAUUGGGUUUAAAGGGAGCGCAGGCCGGGUAUUAAGCGUGUUGUGAAAUGUAGGCGCCCAACGUCUGCACCGCAGCGCGAACUGGUGCCCUUGAGUACGCACGACGUUGGCGGAAUUCGCCGUGUAGCGGUGAAAUGCUUAGAUAUGGCGAAGAACUCCGAUUGCGA